rnacentral:SRP_RNA from 1 species
GCCGGGCGUGGUGGCGGGCGCCUGUAAUCCCAGCUACUCAGGAGGCUGAGGCAGGAGAAUUGCUUGAACCCGGGAGGCGGAGCUUGCAGUGAGCCGAGAUCGCGCCACUGCACUCCAGCCCGGGUGACAGAGCAAGACUCUGUCUCAA